rnacentral:lncRNA from 1 species
CUCUGGGUUUUGGUUGUCGGUGUGAGUUUAUUCAUCAUGUCUUAUUCCGUUGAAGUACUGGUGUGUAUGGUAUGACAUUCUGCCUUGGCAGUUUACUUUCACAAUGUUUCUUCUUCCUUACAGUGUAAUCUGGAUUUCUUCUGGUUCUGGCAGUUUCUCAUCUGAUUGUGCCUGCUAAAAUUUGAUUUGAUUGGUUUUCAUGCUCUCCUGCUCGACCUCAUCAAGGAAAGCAGAAGUGGGGAGGGUUUAUACUGCUGUUAUUUUGUUCUGAUUGGUUGUUCUGAAAAGUUACGUCAACUGUUUCUUUGCUGCAUGAGGUUUCUAUUAAUGAAGGUAAAGCAAAUAUUCGUAUAUGUGUGUGUCUGUCAUGUUUUGCCAUAUUUUAUGGAUGACAUGUUGGUGCCAUAUGCUAUUGUCGUCACAUAUGUGCUGCAAUUUGUAUGUGUGUUGUGUGCACUUUAAAAUAAAAGACUUAUUUAGGUACUGUGAUGGUUGACAGCCAGGGUGCCUGUUCUACUUUAGCUUUAAUAAUACAUUUAGAUCAUGGGCGUAGGAACCAAGGGGGAUAGGGGGGGACGCAUCCCCCCCAGCAAAUCAUGCGGGGGGGAC